rnacentral:rRNA from 1 species
AGGGUUUGAUCCUGGCUCAGGACGAACGCUGGCGGCAUGCCUAACACAUGCAAGUCGAACGAGAAAGUUCCUUCGGGAGCGAUUAAAGUGGCGCACGGGUGAGUAACGCGUAGACAAUCUGCCCUUCAGUCUGGGACAACUUUUCGAAAGGAGAGCUAAUACCGGAUGACAAUGUAACACAUAAGUGUCACAUUUGAAAGCUCCGGCGCUGAAGGAGGGGUCUGCGUCCCAUUAGCCAGUUGGUAAGGUAAAGGCUUACCAAGGCGACGAUGGGUAGCGGGUUUGAGAGGACGAUCCGCCACACUGGAACUGAGACACGGUCCAGACUCCUACGGGAGGCAGCAGUGGGGAAUAUUGCACAAUGGAGGCAACUCUGAUGCAGCAAUGUCGCGUGAGUGAAGAAGGCCCUUGGGUCGUAAAGCUCUUUUAUGGGGGAAGAUGAUGACGGUACCCCAAGAAUAAGCACCGGCUAACUACGUGCCAGCAGCCGCGGUAAUAC